ensembl:lncRNA
AUGGAGAGGAUGGAGGUGGACCAGUGCGCAGGCGCAGGAGGAGCCCUCCGAAGGUCCAACAGCGCCCCCAUGAUCACGAACGUCAGUGAUGGGACGACAGUAUUCAGCUCUAAUAGUUCGGCUCGGUAUCGUCGGAGCAGCGUUUCUGUGAACCCGAGCUGUCCCUCACGGAUCCUUCCUCUGUCCCCAUUCUCGCUGUCUUGUGAGAGAUCCGAACACAAGAGACAGAUUGAGAAUAUGGAACUCACUUUGAGAGGAAGUUUACAGAGACUAAGUGCCUCGCCUGCUGUUCACUUCCCUCCUGCGAGUCAUUGGCAUGACCAUCUGUCUCCAGGAUUCCAUUCCCAGGACAGCGGUGUCACUCCUAAUUCCUCACCCAGUCCAACUCGAAGGUUUCGAGGAGGAUCCGUGAGCUCUGGAGUGAGAUGGCCAUCAGUUGCACCUUUGAAAAGGAAAGGUGGAGUGGAAUCGGACGGUCCGCCCAAAAAGCUCUUUGUUGCUGGAGUCACAGACCCUGCUCACAUAACCAGUUACACAGUCAGUGUUUCCCAGCCAGUGGACUCCUCUUCUGGGACUGCUCCUGUUGGUUCAAACACCCAGGCCAUCCCCCUGUCCCUCUCCCCUCCACCCCCCUUCACCUCCCACCACCCCAGCAUCUAAACCCCAGUAUUCAUCACAUCAUCACCUUGUAGAGCUUCGGAUGCAAGGUGUUGUAAAAUGAAGACCAAACUUCAGCCUAAUCUCAUUUCUGUCCCUUUUUGUUUUCUGCUUUUAAUUUGGUGCUUUGAAUAGAGUAUUUCAGCUCAAUCACUUCUGAAGGAAAUUCAAACUAGUUGUUACUUUGGUAUCAAGAUGCAAUACAAGAAGACAAAACCUUCUGGAUGUAUCUGACAUGUCAACGUGGAUGCUGCAGGCUAUCGUGUAAUUUGUGAAUAAUUAUGGAAUUUGUUUGCUGUAUAUAUGAAAUAGUAUCUGCAAUAACACAUUUGCAAUGAAAGUGUUCAGGUAGUUGAAACCUGGCGAAUACUGACACAAAGACCCUUUCCUUAGUGUACAGACUCAAAAGAAAGACCAGUUUUGCUCCUUUUCGUUUUCCUCGAGUUGUGGCAAAACAUUUUUGUAUUUUGGUACAUCUUCAGCUUCCAUUAACAGGGUCCAAUGUUCUGGUAAAACAUCCAGAAUGUGUAGAAAAAAGGACUGAGGAAUAGAGAGUAUUAAAAUCAGUUGGCCAUAGAUGUCAACUUUUUGUAUAAAUGUAUAUAAAUAUGUGAAUAAUCGAAUAUUAUUUUGGUAGGUAUUAAUCUUGUGUUUCGAGGGGUCUGAUGUCUGUAAAAAUGUUUAUUUUUUCCAUAUAGCUUUUAGCUUGGACUGAACUUUUUGAGUUUGAAAAAAAUUCUUUAAAUCAUUGGAAACGAUACCAGCGCAUUCAGGCAACUCCCAUAUUUUGAUUCGCUUAUCGCUUACUUUAAAAAAUUAAAUAAAAUAAAACGUACUGUAAAGACUAGAUGUCUCACUUCACGUCUACAGUCCGUUGUUGUUGUAUACGCUAAGCACUUUCAGUUAAAAGUCCACAUUGAAAACUGACCUAGAGCCCUAGAAUGUAUCCCGUCUGAGGCAAGAUGCUUUUCAGUAACGACACCGUGUCAAACUGUUUUUCCCUCCUUAACAAGACUUGUACGUUGUGAAUUAUGUACAGAAAUUGAGGACUUAAGAUACUUGCAAGGGAUGAGCUGUUGCAUUACAAAACACGAUAAACCAUUUCUAUAUAGAUACAAUCACGGUUUCAGUGGAUAUCAUACUCUUCCUCUUGUACUAUUUGCACAGUGUUAGAUAUCAAUGUUGCUGUUACAUGAGUGGGAUCAUAUUUACUUUUAUUGUAAUGGGGGUCUCGUUUUGUAAUGCUUGAGUCAUUUCACUUGGGAAAUAUUUUCAGAUCUUUGAAGUCGAUCUGAUUUUUGUGUAAAAGCAGCAAGUCUGGAUUGUGACUUUAAUUGUGGAUGGAUUUUAAUUAGAAAAUGUAUUAUCCAGCAAGUGACAUGCUGCGGUUAAUAGAACUGGAAGCCCUUCUAAAGCAGAUCUACCAUGAUACUUCACAGCAUUAUGCAAAUGAUGUUGAUUGUGGCGCAUGUUACAUUGUUAUUUAUGAAUGUGUACAGGCUCUGGUAGCAGUAUGUACUUCAUUGUCAUAAUUCUUGAUUCCCAAAGACUUUAUUGCAUGGACACCGGCAGCUUGUUGGUCUCUAAAGUUGCACAUCAGACAUAUGAAGCCGUUCUUCUGUAUCCAUAUUCAUAUAUCUGGAGGAAUACAGCUCAUUCCUCGAUAUAAUAUCAUUGCCUUUUAUUUUUACUCAUUUAGUUUUUAAUUCAGUGAUAAUGCCUUAAAGGUUUUGAGUCUUGAAGUUUUAAUUCCAAAGUUACUUGCACUGUCAUUCGCAGUUUCCAGUUGUUGGGGUCCUUGAGAUUUCAAAUGUUUAUACCAAUGUUUAUGGGUCUUUUAAAGUGAUUACAAAUGUGCAAUAUGCAUUAAAGUUGCUGGAAUUAGUAUGUCAAGUUCAUCGGGAUAAUCAGUUCCAGGUAUUUAUCAAGAACCUGAAUGGAAGACUUGACAGCUGUUUGUUCUGAAUCAUUUAUAUAAUGUAGAAUAAGUACCAUAAUUAGUAUUUUUCAGAUUUGCCAUACACUUACUAUGACAGGUUCUGUCUGUCAUAGAGAGAGAAUCACGAGCUGUUCUUUCUUUGUUCUCCUUAAAUGAUUGAGAGGUGUGUUGUGAAGAAACUAAAUGGAUUGUGACCGCAUGAAAAACAAUGUAAAGAAAUGCCAAAGCCGAUAGAUUUUGUUGUAAGUUGUAAAUAUAUUCUGGAAGCCAGAAAAAAUUAAGUGAAAGAUGGAUAUUUUUUGACAUAUUGGUAGCAAAAGUACAAUUAUUCCCUCUUGGUCGCCCAUGAUGAAUGUCCAUUUAUCAGAGAAGAAAUAUCAUUUACCAUAAAAUGUAUAUUACACCAUAUAUUCUUAUGAAAAAGAUCCUAAUAAAAACUCAUUUUAUUGAUUUGCAUGCUGUCUUUUUAUGCCAAGCCAAGAAAUUGUAUGACAGGACGAUUUGUUCAUAUGAAAUUUAAGCAGGCAUGUCUUAUUUUUGCUGUUGAAAUGACCGGUUUAAUUAAUCUGUAAUGGUAAAAAAAUAAUAUACAUAUAUAUACAUACAAUAGAAGCUGUACCUAAUAUACAGUGGCAGUGGAAGAAAAUGGUCCAAUUUUCCAGAAACUAUUUUUGAUGUUGUGCUGCCAAAAUUUCAUUAAAAGCAGCAUCUUGCUUCACUUCACAAAGCUUUACUUCAGCCAAAAGGGCCUAAUAAUUAAAAAAGGAAGUAUUUUUACAAGUAGUUUGACCACUGUCCUGUAAACCCCUUUUCAGCUGUGAUCAGAUCAGAUCACACAACACAAACCACUCAUUAUCUAUUUUUGCUGCAUAGUAAGAGCUAAGGAUGCAGUUAUUUUUCACUGACAUGGAUAGAGAAUGGUUGGCGAUGUAGUACAGAUCUGGUGCUGUUCGAAGCCACAGCAGAAAAGGUGGUAGAGGUGUACAGCAAUGAUCAAACUUGAUCAUCUCUGCUCCCCCCGUUGCACCUGAAUAUCA